UCAAGCUAUAUUAUGUGAGGAGAUUUUUAAAAACAACCUAGUUUUCAAUAAAAAGAUUGAAAAUUAUAAAUGAAAAUUAAAAGCAAAAAACCCUGAAAAGGAAAGAAAAUAAAUAUAAAAGAUUGAUACCUGUGAAAUUAAAAGAAAAAAGAGGAUUUCUCAGGUUUUCAUGAUUACCAUGGAGUAAGUGAUGAAUUAUUUAAGACUUCAGAUGCCUGCUUCAUUCUAGAAAUGCUAGUCUGGAUGCUCUAAAGCAGGGCCUGCCUGGGGAAUGCGAGUUUUUCAGACGCGUGUCCAUGUGUGAUUCUGCUGCAGAUGUCCUCUGGCUCGGAAUUUGGAAGCACUCCUGGAAUGAAUAAGUUAAGUGCGGCGUGGGUUUUGUUCAUAGUUCAUCAUUCUUAGUCAUUAGUGUGAAGAACGUCUACUAAAUGGUGACCAUAUUGUGUAGCAGUUGGUAAUGAAAGCCUAGAGUCACUGCGUUUGGUCAAACCACUCUCUCACAGUCACAGGAACACCCCACCUUGAGAAUGUCUGCUACUCCAGUCCAUAUGUUUUUUUUUUCUCUUUUCAGGAAUACUUCAAUAAAUAACGCUGUUCAGUGAGCCAGUGGUGUGGUGGACAUAUGGAUAGCAUUUACUGUUGGAUUAACUGGGACAGGUGCCAUUUAUUUGGAUUCUAUCUCUUAAUUGAUGGCAAUGUCAUAGAACAAAAUGAUGCACCAAGACCCUUGCCAAAUUCAUAGCACCCUGGCUUUAGCUGGACAGUUAGAAAGUCAUUUAGCUCACAUAGGUCCCAGAAGAAACUAGCCAUAUUUGAAAAUAGUCAAGAAUUAUGAACCACUUUCUUCCCAAGGGAUAGAAUAGACUAAAACAGCCAAUAAUGUCAGCAUUCUCAACUGAUCCUCUAAACAGAGCAUCCGGGGGGCUCAUCAGUUAGAGUCAGGCAGAAUACAGAAGGGGGGGCUAGUGUCGUAGUUUACAUAAUAAAGCUGAGACCAGGAAAUGUCCAUAUUGAUUUCAUGAGAUGUUAGAAUGUGGGUAGGAUUUCUAACCUAAAUAUUUCUUAGAAAACCACACAUCAAAUUACUUCCUGUGAAACAGACAAAAUCCCACAGAGAUCAAGCAUAGAGUAGGUGAGAGAAAAGGAUGAAGGGAAAUGCAAAACCUCUUGCUCUGCGCAUCCCAGCAGGGCUGUGGGCUCACAAACAGGCCCACUCAGGUACUCCUAAAUGACCCUGCUGUGUUGAAGGCUCACGGAGGCUGCGGUUAUAUGCUAAAACAAAAAGCAUUGGGGAAAUGGACAUUGCAAAUACCAAGCCUCUGUGUGCGCAUUUUGGUGCAGACUAUAUUGAAACAGCAAGGUUCUUACUAUCAGGAUGUCUGAACAUGUGCCAGUAAUAUCUCAGAAUAAAAUGGGUAGGAAAUGAUGGUAAAAUGCAGACGUGCACGCAGGGAUAUUUGGUAAAUGAUAUAUACAUGCACACAGAAGCAGAGCCUCACCCUCUCCACUCCUGGGUCCUCGCAGACUGAUUGGAUGUGGUGAUAGAGGAUCAAAGGGGCUUUCAGGACAGCCAUCCCUCUGACCUUUCCAAAACAGACAAAUACUCAGUGUUGCAUAGAGACAUAACAACAUUUAGUGACAUGGAGACUCUUGUAACAAGACACAGAUGUAAACAACCAAAGGAGCGUUCCCAACAGUGCCGCCUUAAUUGUGGCAGUGGCUUCAUGCCUCUGUUCAAACUAACUGAUAAUUCCAGGCUCUUGUGAGAAUCAAUAGAUCUCUUAAGAAAAGGUUUCCAGGUCACUGACAUUCUGGAACUGUAUAGACCAACCCAGCAUUUGCGAUUUCUAUAAACCAAGGUGAAAAGGUCACCUGCAGUUAGCAGAGCCAGAAGUAGAGGAUGAGACUCCAGCUUGUCACACUCUGCAGGCUCUAGUUCUGCCUGUCAUCUAAGUACGGAACCAUGUGGGCUUUGUGUCACCCUGCUGAUUUCACACAGGCAUGCCUAUUUGUAUGUGGGUAUCCAACUUUCUAACUCCUACGUCCUCAGUCCUUGGCAUGGAAAAAAAACAACCACUGCACUAUGGGUGGAUGAGUGAGUGAGUGAGUGAGUGAGUGAGUGAGUGAGUGAGUGAGUGAAUAAAAUAAUCUUAUCCAUUACUGAUCUUUUCACUUUCAGCGCAUUGUGUCAGGGGAUACUUUUGAAUAUCAACUGAUUUUGAAAGCAUGUGCUUUCAUUUUUAGAUUCCCUUUGCUGUCGUUAUUGUUUUUGAGACAGGGUCUCAUUUUUAUGUAGCCUUGGCUGACCUAGAACACACUGGAUGGCCUCAUACUUACAGUCAUCCCCCUGCCUCUACCUUCUGAAUGCUGAGAUUUUUGUUUUAAUUCACACAUGUGUAUCUAAAGAUGACUCUACCAAUGACAGUACCAUGAUGACUCAAUCAGUAGUCACAAGCUGUAUUCAAAAACAUCCAAACUCAAUUUUACUUUUCAAGGUUUCUUUUAUAUCAUCAAAAUGUUUCUUUCUUCCUCACUUGAGUCCACCACUAACCGACCAUCCUCAAAGAUGUUCCUAUGGUCCUUAGUGCAGCUGAUGAAGAAGCCAAAUGAUUCCUGAAGCCCUGAAGCCCUUCCAGAUACCAAGUGAAGUAACCCAAACAUCAGACUUAAAAUGAUCACAAAAUUGUGAAUGAACGAGGAUACUUUUCUACCUGAGCAGAUGAGGGCCAUUUAUUUCAAACUUGUGGAAGUCAGCAAGCACACACAGCAAAAUACUCAAGGCCUAGAAGAACACACGGUGAAAGCUGAUGGUCCUCUGUCCGCGUCUGUCCUGCAGCGCCUCUCCUUGGUCCUCUGUCUGCAUCUGUCCUCCAGCGUCUCUCCUCUAGGUGGAACAGAAGCUGCUUUGAGAACAGAGAUGGACAGACCUCUGUAUUUUUCAACACCCCCAACAAUCAAAUGGAUCCUUUUUUGCAUUUUCUCUUCCAUCGUCUUAAACUCCUAGGAAGAACACCCAGUAUCCGAAAUGACGCUCUGCAUCGGUGAGGCCUGCCACUAAGCAUCCCAGCCUUGGUCGGUAGGAAUCAUUUUCUACCCCUCAGACCCUGCAAUCUCCAUGUGCAGAGCAGUUCACUCUCGGGCUCCUUUUCUUAGCCGCUACAGAAGCAAAUCCUGCCUCAGCAACCCAGGAGAUCUGUUUUCCUGGCCUAAACACUAAUUGAUUCCUGCUCCUGAGUUCCAGGGCUGAGGAGAAACUGCAUCUCUGCUCAGCAGCGAACUCCUCUUUGCUCGGACCAGGUUCAGCCAGACUUACCCGGGCACCCGGGGAGGCUACGGCAGUGUGGCACUGACCGAGGACUUUGGGGCUCUAGUCCGAAAGAAAUUAGGCCAGAGAUCCAAGAAGCCUAUCUGAGGGGGGGAAUUUGCAAAGUAUGUUUGACCACCGGUCUUCACGCACGAAUCGGGACAGCAGGAGUGAAGGAGACGCCAUAUUCUUAAAAGAGAGGGAAGGCCUGGAAGGCAGUUUGCAAACUGCUUCGUCAUUUCCACUGGCCGAUCUUCAAGGCCAGAGUCCCCUGAUGCAAAUUAAACACUGGCAACUGAGAUGCCACAGGAAGAAUGUUUCCUCACUGUGAACCUCAGUUUCUGUUUCUGGAGGAGAAGUCUACAUCGGGCAUCGUGGAGACAAACUUAGGUAGCAGGCGAGGACACGUCUUAGGAAAACGACACCUUGUAUUUGCAGAGCUCUCAGCACCAGGAGCUGAUGAGCAAUGAUACCGUUAACAGCCAUAUUGUCGGUUAUUCGAUGAGGGUCCAAUAUUGACAGGACAGCAAUUUUUCAAAGAAGAGCUGUGAGGGUUGCAGAUGGCCUACCUCGUCUGUGUUCCAGAUGACACCUGAGGUCGGCCUGCUUGCCUCCUUCCCCCAUUCUCCUUCAGGCUCAUUCACCUGCGCGCACUGUGGAUUCCUGUGGGUCUACGGAACCAACCGAUGGUUCCAAAGGAAUCGUUGUUUCGCUCCUUAGGACAAGUGUAAUGAGAAGAAAGUGCACAGAGACCCCCCCCCAAGGCAGCAAAUGCUUAAUUAACUUCAAAGUGCCAGGGGGAGAGGCUGGAUUAGUCUACACAAAACGGACAAGCACAACCCUUUCCUGACGCCUGGAUACAAGCCAGUCCGGUCGCCUGGGUCAGCAACUAGUCAUUCGUGUUCCGGUUAUGGAAAUGGCGCACAACGUUGAGUAUGGGGUCGCACAGGAUUCUGAAACCUUCUCCAUGUACUCUUGAGGCGGAGGAAUGCUGUGGGCUUUGACAUGCCUACAGUAUUUAGUAGGGUCUGCCCCAUACCAGACUGCCAAGAGAUUUGAGGCCGUUUGGGGCCACUGAGAACCAGACAGUUGUAGAACAUUAGAGCUGGAAGGAAAAUCUUGGGAAUCCCAUUUAACAGCUUGCUUUUCACUUAUUUGGGGUAGGCACAGAACUAGUUUUAUGAAAUAAAGUCCCAUGCAGGAGAGCAGUUAACGCAAUCUGUAAAAAUGAAGUUGUGCCGGGAGGUUGUGGCGCACGCCUUUAAUCCCAGCACUCGGGAGGCAGAGGCAGGCGGAUCUCUGUGAGUUCGAGGCCGGGCUGGACCGACAGCCUCCAAAACAACACAGAGAAACCCUGUCUCGUAAAACCAAAAAAAACAAUUGUAUCCAGCAUCGUGGAGAUGGGGAAGAGCCCUGAGAUAACUCUAGAAACUUUGGAAUCAGAAACACCUGACCAUCAAGGCUGCCAACCUCAUUCUCACCCAGCAGGAGGGAAUAAUGGGAAGUGUUAUCUUUUUGCUUAAAAAAAAAAAAACCUGAUACAUAAUAUAUGGAUACAGUCCUAUGGUCCAGCACAAUAAUAUAUGUAUCCAAUGUACAGUGACAAUCAUCUUUUCUAUAUCCUCAAAUAUGUCCUCAUUAAAAUAAAUAUUCGG